GGGCUAUCUCUUAGCCUGUCCUUUAUAACACUGACCAGCCAACUUUUUGCUGGAUGAGCAGCCUUCCAUGAUUCCCCUCCACAUGUAUGUGCUUUAUUCAUCUUUUUUAUCCUAAAGACUUGAUCUGAUGGAACCCAAGAUGCAUGAAUUGACCAAGAGCAACCUUCAGCCACACAUACACCACUUGCUCGAUUGGUGUCAUUCUUUUUUAACCUGUACACAAAACGAUGCGCAAUGGCAUAUUUCUGCAGUGCAUCACGAAAUUCAACUACAUUUUUG
rnacentral:misc_RNA from 1 species